rnacentral:lncRNA from 1 species
CAUCUUGAAUCUUCUAUUCAAGAUCACCGGAUUGUACCUCCCUCUUCAUCCUCGGAAUGCCUUCUGCUCUUAUGAAGAUCUUGCAUCCCACUACCAUAGGAUUUUAGGUAGCCCCACAAGAUUCACCGCACCCUCUUCAGACUCCGAACUGGUCAAGUCCGUACCUCCCUGAAGAAACGCUUGCUCCUAACUAUCAUCGAAAAUUUAGAUAGCUCAACAAGCUCCACCAUCCCUCUUCAGCCCCCGGAUUGUGCCUUUUCCGUCCUCCUGAAGAACCGCUUGCCUCCGACUAUCCAUGGGAUUUUGCGAUAGCCCUACAAGCCUUCACCACUCUUCGACCCCAGAAUGCCUUCCGUACUCUCGAAGUUUUGCUUGGCUCCAAACCAACCUUGGAAUUUUAGGCGGUUCCACAAGCUGCAACAUCAAACUCUCCUUGUAUCCAACUACCUCCAGCAGUCUCACAAGUUACCAAGUUUGAUCACUUGUUGCUUUCAAUUGCCUCCCUGAAGAUCCUCUCAAGGUCUUGCACUUCUUCAGCCACAAUUGAAACAUAAUCCACAAGGUCUCCAUGGUAAUCCCCCUUUGGUUCAACAAUACCACUCUCCUUCAUAUCUCUGAUUAGAUAGUCAAGAGCUAAUGUUGACUGUCUACCACUAUUGGAAGACUCCACCUCAAACUGAGUUUCCACCAAAGUAUACCCACCAUGAUCUCCACCUUGUAACACGCAAGACCUCUUCAACUCCUCUAAAACAUACUUCAAGCUAUUGUUAGUCUCCAACAAUUCAAGUUCAGUUCAACACCUAGUAAACCUUGUUCACUAGUCCAACUAAACACAUGUCACCAACAGGUCCACCCGAAGUCCCACAACUCAACCACAUUAUGAGAGUCACCACUAGUUAUAGAUGCAUGACCAACUAUCUUUGCAUCUAAGUUCAGAAACAUACCUCACAUCGUGUAAAGAAACUCACGAUUGUAAAACUUCGUAAGACAAACUGAACUCAUACCUUGAACCUUCAAGCUUUCCGUUUUCAAGAUGAACGACUCCACCUUCAACUAGCUCUAGAGUCUCAAAGUAUUCAUUCUUUGACCACAUGUGAUUGGUGCAUCCAACGUUCAUGACUCAACACUCCACCGAAUCUCAACUUCCACUAGCACCUCCGCAUAAUAAAGUUGUUGUUUCAGAAGUAACCUGAGUAUUAUUACCACCGCCUCUCCAGGCCGACCGUCUUCGCCAUCUCCAUU